rnacentral:lncRNA from 1 species
AUGGAGAGGUCAGGUCACUCCAGCCCUCCCCCUCCCCCUGCUUCCCUGCCUCUGCUUCCUUAUUUCCUGCCACAGGACGCAGGACACUGGGCGGGCAGCUGGUCGAAUCCCCAGGACAGGCCUCAGGAGGCAAAGGACCCCACAGCCUGCACCACUCCGGUGCCCUGGCUGGAGCCAAGGCCAAAGCAUGUAGAGCACCUGGCAGGAGAACAAAUCUCCUCAGCCUGCGAGCACACAGGGCAACGUCACCGACUCACCCCUGCUUGGUGUCUCUCCUCCCUCCACCAAGGUGAUGUCAACAGUGGCACUUCUGGCCUUGAAGAAUGGACUUGCUCUGCGGAACACGGGUUGGCUGAGGACUGGAUCUCUCCAGUGUUGUAUUUGGGUUUCCGGACAAAGCAGAAACGUUUUCAACUUAGAGUUAGUCUACCUGGUAGCCUUCCAGAUGGCUGCAGCCUGUCUGUUUGUAAUGGGAAAGAAGUCCUGAUGAAUGUCCAGACGCCCUGUGUGCCAUCUGGAUCCUGGUGUAAAGAAGGCCAGUCAAGAUGGACGUGCUUCACCCAUUUGUUGAGUGCCAGCACUUUGCCGCACAGAACAGAGAUUACAUGGCCUGCCCACCCAACAGGCCGACGAUCACAGGACCCUGUGUGUCCCUGUGGAUGUCUCCAACUCAGCUUAUAUUUUAAAAGAAAAUAA